UACGUAGGCAGCAAGCGUUGUUCGGAAUUACUGGGCGUAAAGAGUGUGUAGGCGGUGCUCUAAGUCUGUUGUGAAAUCUCCCGGCUUAACCGGGAGGGUGCGGCGGAGACUGGAGUGCUAGAGUGUGGGAGAGGUAAGCGGAAUUCCUGGUGUAGCGGUGAAAUGCGUAGAUAUCAGGAGGAACACCUGUGGUGUAGACAGCUUACUGGACCACGACUGACGCUGAGACACGAAAGCGUGGGUAGCAAACAGG
rnacentral:rRNA from 1 species